AUUUAUUCCUCACCAUCAACUGUCAAAGUAGGUAAUGCAGAUUCGCAUAUAUACGUUUAUGUUCGUUUUCGUGGUUUCCUUUAUUUAAAAUUCUAAUGAUUCCUGAAUUAGCCACUGCCCUUCUGUCUACGUAAGCUCUUGUUGUCAUAUUAUUAAAUCAACCAUCUUCUUGACGUCUUGUGUAUCAAGGAUUCUUUCAUCUAGACGAACAUACAUCGUGAAAUGGCUUCCAAAAGAUAUCUGAUCAUGUUGGUGGCAGUUUUGUUCUGUGUAUCGAUUGCAUAUUCAAAUCCAACCACAGCGAGCCCAACGUCAACGACAACGACUUCGACGAAAAUCAAACUCCUGAAACUCUUCUGCAGUGCUCUAAAGCAAGCAAAAAUAAGCGAUAAUGCACGCUGUAAGUUGCAAUUCUCUAGAAGUGGAUCUUGGACUUAACAUGGAAAUUUCACGUGUGCACGUUCACCAUAACCAACAAAUGCAGUGGUUUUGACUGCGAGUAGUCUUACACAAUGUAUAUAAUCAUCAUUCACAAUAUCGAUAAGCAAUAUUUCUGCCGUUCCAAAGAGGUUAUUUAAGAAGUAAUGCAAAUAUUUUUUUAUUUACCAGUUGUGAAAAUUAUUCCCUUUAUGCUGUAAAAAGAAAAAAAAACCAUAGUUUAGUGAUCGAGUUACUAUCCUGAAUUUCGGAAGCUGGAGUAGGCAUGAUCAUUUGUACACAAGUGCCUGGAAGCUGGGGCUGUGGUGAUGAACUUCAAGGUCUCCAAGUUCUUGUUCUUAACACAUUGGUCAAGCUCCCGGUCUAUUUUGGUGAGGAUUUAUUGAGUGUUGUGAUGUCAGAUAUUACGUGUACAACGCAGGACUCUAAGUGGAAUAAUGACCAAUGAAGAUCUGUUCAUCUUGACCAUUGACGGUCUGUUAAAUGUGAAAAGAAGCUUGAGGCAAGACAAGUUUUAAAAAAUGCAAUGUUAGACACAUGUGUUUACAUGUAACGUGUGUGAGGUAGGACUUCUUUUUCUAGCCUAUACACUGGGCUGCGUUGAAGAUCGUAGCGUCUAGGUAUGGUGGCUGAUUUGUGCCAUUUUACAAUUUAUCGUCUUUUCUUUAUUUUGAGGCGAAAAUAGCUAAUAUCAUCAUUAUGUCGUCUUUUUGUUAUUUUGGGACGAAAAGUCUCUAUCUAGAUAUCGUUUGUUUUUUUGUUUUUUGUUUUUCCCCUCUCGAAAUAACAUAAGGACAAUAAAUUGUAAAAUGGCACAAAUCAGCCACCAUACCUAGUCCCUAGGCUAGCCGCUACGAUCUUGAACGUAGCCCUGAUGUAUUUUGAAGGAUUUAGCUCGAUCCAACUACUGCGUGAAAAUCUUUCAACAAAAGGAAAAUAUAUCGACUGAAGAACUCCUUUACAAGUGUAAUUUCUUUCACUGCUAAAGAUUCCGUGAUUCUCAGAAAGAUGUCUAUGGAAAAUGUAAUGCAGGUGUAGCGUUAUAAUCGAAUAGAUUAUAGCGUGCAAACUCAAGGAACUAUCUCAAAAUACCCAGUGUUUUCUUGUCCUUACUUUAUUUGCAAUACUUUUUUAUACACUCCUCAUAGUACAAUAUUGUAUGCAAUAAAAUUAAACAAUCAAGCUAAA